AUAUCAUGGGAGUAAAUAAAAAAAUUUAAAAGCCUAGAUCAGAAAGAGAGGCUGCUGACUCAUGAUGUUUCAUCCUAAUCUGGAAGUGGUCUGCUUGGUGCAAGCAAUUGGGAACUCCAGUAUUAUGUUACUAUAAACGUAUCGUAUUGACGUUUAAAAGAUAAUUCUGACAGUGUUGUUUACUGAUGGCAAUUCAAAUUAUAGGC